ACUUAGAUGGCGUGCAUGUGAGCGGAUGCCAAUUGCGAUAACUGUGAUUUUUAGAAUGUGCGAUAAUUAGAGAAUAGCGAAUUAGUAAGUGGAUAAAGAAGGGAAAAGGGGAAGAACAAAAAAAAUUAAAAAGAGGAAAAAGAUUUUGUUAUCCUGACAUUAUGUUUUGAAGAUGAGUUAAUAAACAGAGAAAAGGAGAUACAAAAGCAGUGAGAAGAUAGCAAAAUUUCUAAGGCAAGGUACAACGAGUUAGAUAAAGAUAUAAGGAAUUAGGGGUGAAUAACAAGAAAUAUACGUCAUAUCUGAGAAAAGAAAACUUAGAAGAAUGGAAAAAAAGGAAUAAGAUAAGAGCUCUGUUUCAAUUAAGAUGUGAGAAUUUAGAGGAAAUGAUAACUUGUAGCAGUAUGUGGAGAAAUGCACGAUGACAAAAAAAAGAUUUAUUAAAUUAGGAGAGAAAAGAGGGAUAUUAAGGAGAUGAUGAAGAGACCAAAUAAAAAGGGAAAUAUUAAGAAAAUUAUGGAAAGAUAGUGAUAAAAUUUUAAGAAAAAAAGAAGAGAGAAAGAAUACAUGAUCUAGAGAGGAAAAAUAAUGGCAAUGGGAAAUUAGGAGUGGUGCAAUUAGCGGAAAGAGGCAAUAAGAAUGGAUACAGUAAAUUUCAAAAGAAAUAAAAGCAUAUGAUAACAAGCAGAUGACGAUUAUAGGCUAUGAUUAAGGCUGUGGUCUAGAUAUUUUAAUUUAAUUUAAUUUAGUCUACAGUAUUAGAAUUAGAUAUAGAAUAAAAGCAGAUAAGGUAUGAAAGAUAAGGUAUAAAAGAAUACAAAGAGAAUAUACAGGAUAAAACUGGAUGUAGCAAGAAAUAAUAAAAAUAGUAAUAUAGUAAUGGAUAGUAACGCGCAGGCGAGAUAAAUGGAUGAAUUAAGGCUGUAUGUGUAAACCAAGUUCUCUUUUUGGCAGUGUAUGUUGAAAUGUAAUAAAUUCUAUUCUAUUCUAUAUUUUCUAUUCAUAAAAUGCGUAAGUGCAGAAAUAAUUAAGUGCAUAGUUGACGUAAUUAAAAUACAUCAAGCAUAAUGUCUUACCAUACUCUGCACUUCGCUCAGAUUCAGUGCAGCCAUUCUCCUUGUCUUCAAUCUCCUUGCGCUCUUCUUCAGCCACUAAUUCAUCGAGAUCUUUCUUCUUUUUCUUCUUUUUCUUUGUUUUU